rnacentral:rRNA from 1 species
UACAGAGGUCUCAAGCGUUGUUCGGAUUCAUUGGGCGUAAAGGGUGUGUAGGUGGCGCCGUAAGUCGGGUGUGAAAUUUCGGAGCUUAACUCCGAAACUGCAUUCGAUACUGCGGUGCUUGAGGACUGGAGAGGAGACAGGAAUUCAUGGUGUAGCAGUGAAAUGCGUAGAGAUCAUGAGGAAGACCAGUGGCGAAGGCGGGUCUCUGGACAGUUCCUGACACUGAGACACGAAGGCCAGGGGAGCAAACGGG